ensembl:lncRNA
CGCCUCUCUCUCCGCGGCGACCUCAUGGCAACGCAGCGCGUUCACUUGCUCUCCCACUACUCGGACGUGAUGUCUGGUUGUUAAGCUGAUCAAGGAUGAGCUGAAGGUCCUGUCUGCAGGAACCCAGUUGGGCUUCCAGAUGUCUUUGUCCACGCAUGAAGAAAGCCUGAUUGUGCUGUAACAGGAUGAAGACCCGUUGACCGCAGCAGGGUCCAUUGUGGCCGACAAGGAACUGGUUAGUUAAUGAAAAAUAAGCAAAUUUGAGUCAUAUUUAAGUAGUGCCAAAUUAGAAGUUGCAACUAAACUACUAAAUGAAGUACACAUGUUUCUUGCUGCUAGAGCCUCAGUUGGGUCAAAAAUAACCACUAUUUUGUUGGUGGAAAAUGGUGAACCAUUGAAAUUGCCGAUAUCAAAUGAAUCACUUUAAGAUGUGUACUAUUUAAGUUGCUAUGUUGUGGAAAGUUGGGGGGGGGGAACCAUUGCUUUUGUUGGCAUAUUGAUGUCGUUCUGAUAAAAGAACCUGACACUUUUUAAUCUGUCACUCCUAUUUUCUACUUUCAAUACAACAGCUUUGGUUGACUGACUCUCUUGUGCAUUUGUACUACUAGACUAUUUUAGCGUUUUGCUAAUUAUUACUGCACUUAAUGUUUACUCAACGCAGGGCUUAUUUCAUUAAACUUCAACAUACAGCACACAAUUAAAGCCUUGCACCAAUCUUGUGGGUGUUUAGGUGUCGGAAGUGUGCCAGAGUGACAUGGCCGGGUUUUCGCUAACACCAUGAGGACUGCUGUCCCUUGACUGGCGUUUGAUAGUGACCUGAGCCACAUUCAACCUUAUAAAUGCAAAGGGGCACUUCCCCCUUUGCCUCCUGUAAACAAUUUCUUCUCAUGACUCCUUAUUUGACCCGUUGAUGGCAAAAAUGUUUUUUGGAAGAACUAAACAAGCAAAACUUAAGUGAGUUUGUAGACUUAAUACAUUUUGGGCAGAGAAUCAACCAAUAGUUGGCAGAUUACUAACUUUGCAUUAGAGUAAAUGUUGGUAACUAAGAAGGAUCACUGAAAGGAAAAGUACAGGGCACCAGUUCAUUUUUGACCAUUUACUACUUGGCUGUUAAAUGAGAAAUCCUGCCUUCGCCCAAUUGUUACAUAGCUUUGUUUUAAAUGUUAAGAUCCUACAGUAUUGUACACUCUCAGAGCUAGUUUCUUUAGAAGGUGCCAGAGGAUAAAUGUCAAAAUUAACCAAGCAUUCUAAUAAAAUAUUUUCACUUAUUUCUGUUCUAGUGUGCGCUCGAGUACCCAGACUGCUCCUGAAGGCCAUUCUGCAGACCUACAAUGAGGAUGCAAGAGCUCUGACUGGCCCGAUCAAAACAUAAGACACCUGAACAUAAUUUUGCUGAGAAAUCAAUAAAGUUGGCUGGUUAUUCAUACAUUGUUGUGUGAAUCUGCUUAAAAUUCAAAUAUUCAUUUAGCCAGUCCUCACAAAGCAAUGGAUAAAGGAUUGUAGUGGCAAUUUAUCCUUGUGAGUGAUACACUUGUGUCAAAGGGCCACUGAUUCACCACAGGUUUGUUCUUUUUAUGCAUAAAGAGGGCAGAUGGCACAUGCAUACCUUUGGAAACAUUACAUCAAUACUCUCAUAAUGGAAAAAAACAAUAUCUCGCCCCGG